UACUGCCCUUCAAUCAAAACAAAAAGAAAAGAAAGAAAAAAGGAUUAAAAACAUAUUAUUGCUGCUGUCAUGUAAAACCAAAAACUAAUUUCACACCACAGUAGAUACGUGCUGGAGAAGGUGAAGAGAGAAUUUAACACAUACUCCACCAAGUUUACACAUUUUGUUGAAGUUAAUGAUAUUUUAAUACCUGAGUCUGAUUGAUGCUACUUGCUGUGGUAAUCACAAACUCUCACUUGAUACAAAAUCCUUUUUCAUGUAUUAAUAAUUUGAAAGCAUGACACAUUUAAUUAUGAAUACUCCACACCCCAUUGAUUUUAGAAAAGUUAAAAUAAUGAUUAUUAAACGUAAAGGUAAAUCUUUGCCCAAAAAACAACCCAAAACAACUUUGUCCAGAAGCCUUUUAUCCUGGAGAUUGAGCCGUUCUAACUGGAGGAAAACAUUAAGUGUUUACUCUUUCUCGACUGACUACUUGACAGGACUUGUUAUUUUAAACAAUGCAAGUCUGGGUCCAACCUCUGACCCAGUUUUACCUCAGCAGACACAGCUUACUGUAUGAUUUGUAUGAUUUAACUCAGGACAUACUGUAUGCCGAGCUGAUCUGCAUUGUUUAACAUAAUGGUUCUUAAGCCAGGUAUUCAAUCCAUAGAAAUGAAAUAACUGAAAAAAAAGUUUUGGUUUUUUUUAGAACUGCAGAACCUCCACCCUCGAAGCGCUCACUUAGGAAAUCUCAAAUAAGUUCAAUUUUAUUUACUGAGAAUGUGCAGUACAGAUCUGCUAGAAAAGUUAUGACAUGUUGAAUUACUGCAAACCAAAAAUAAAUAGUUUAAAUUAAAUGCAAAAAAAAA